CAAUCCCUCGUGCUCCUCGAGCCCUGCGUCCAUCAUCCCCCUCCCCCGCUCUCCACUCCCCACCCUCCCCCGCGCAGCCGCCGCCUCUCCCCUGCCCUUCUCAUCUCGAGCCCUUCCCAGCCGACGGAGGAUCCCCCAUCCCAGCCCCGCGUGGGAGUUCAGAGGCAGGGGAGGUGUGGAUCGAUGAUGGUGCAGCAAAGAAGAGGAUGGGAGAUCGAGGAGGGAGCAAGCCGUUGCAGAGGAGAUGGGAGAAGGGGGUGUGCGGUGGUGAGGCAUCGGCACCAAAGAAGCAGGUCCGUGGUGUGCGGUGAAGCGGGAUAGGUGGCCCCGGCCGGCGCUCGCAGGUACGUCAUGCAGGAUGAGGCCGCAGCUCCAGUCUUCUCCCCGCGGUGGUCCACGGCGCUAUCACUGUGGUCCUCAGCAGGAGGAGCGCGGGACGCAGAGGCGGCCGGCUCCGUCCUGCUCUUGUGCCCCCGUACCUCUGCCUUUCUUGUCCGCGGCGCCCCAGGCUAGCAGGUGGACGGCGCGGAGAGUUCUCGUCACAAGACGCAGGAGGAUGGUUCUCGCCGACACCGCACUCUGCUCCUCUCGCCUCUGCCGCGCUCUGCUCCGGCUCGUCCCCGCCGCGCUCUGCUCCGGCUUGUCGUCACCGUGCUCUGCUCCGGCUUGCCACCGAAAAGGUUGUGCUUUCGGUCCAAGGAGCCGAUGGGUCACCGGAUCCGUCGGCCACCCCAUGGACUUCGCCUGGAACGCGGGCUGGGAGGCGGCGGCGCCAGCCUGCAAUGCCAACCCCGACCCCGACCAACCCGCCGCCGUAGGAGGUGGAGGCGGAGUCCAUGAUGCUGGUCUCCGAGCCGUGCGUCGCCGUCUCCUGGCUGAGGCGAGCUGACUGCCACGCAGGUCAUGCUCUCUGCCAUGUCAAGUUACGGUCCUUCACUGGUCUUGCCGUGGAUUAGGCUGUUGUGGUCCGUGAGUUGACAAGUGGAUUCAUAAGGUCGGAUUGAUAAGAAUCAGGAUAGGAAUCCUUGAGUUGGCUCAGAUUGAUAAGCACUAGGAAUCGUGCAGUCCCCAAAUCCUUGAGUUGGUUCAGAGUUAGCCUUGGCUGCUCCCCUGCUUGACUGAAGUUUUUGUUCCCUGCUAAAAAGCCUUCAUUUUUGUUCCCUCCGAUUCAGGUUCAUUUUUGUGUACUGCUCCCUGCUAAGAAACCUUCAUCUUAUAAUGCUUUUGUUAGCUCUGUCUGAACAUUUUCUUAUUACCCUUUUAGUGCCUGCUCUCAUGAAGAUGAAUAUGUCUUGUUCGUCAAUGCCGGUGGGUAUAUCUAAAAAAACUGCAAAGGAAGCAGAAGACAAUGUGCUCCUGAGAGAGAUGCACAAUAUUCAAUACUCUUAUGUCCCGCACAAUGCACCGCACAAGGUCCCUGCUCCCUUCCCUGCUGCAGGUAGCACCCUCCCUUUUGUUCAGUUUCAGUAUGCAAGCGAACAUGUGCAGUUCAUGUGCACUGAUUCUCAAAACGGAAGCAUUUACAUGGCCAUGUUGGUUUCUUCAAUGAGGAGACGAGAGAGGAGAUAGCUGGAUCUGGAAAUGGAGGUCAGCACCACCUACAGGACAAGAGCGCCGCUCCUCUCCGACUCUUCAAGGUCUCUCAUGCUCUGCUCUUGCUCUGGCUGAAUUAGAAGGUUAAUGGUGUAUACCUGCUUCUUUGCUGCCAUGUAAAGACUCUGUUAUCUCUUGAAUUUAUCCACUGCCAACUUUAUCCUGCAGUCAUGGAUAAAGUUUGCAUUAGUCUUUGCCAGCCAGGUUCGCAAAACUACAAGUUCCAGUCCUUUUAUUCUUCCUUGGUCAUAAUGUUAAUUUUUCUGCCAUAUGUUAAUUUUUUUGUCAUAUGUAGGCCAUCAGAUAACUUGUGUAUGUUCAUCUAGCUGCAAAAGAAACUUACGACUUAUGUCGUCAGGAAAAAAAAUAGUAGACCAGUUUACAGUUGAAAGGACCAGGCACUACCAUUUGUUUGAUGUGUUAUUCUCUCAAUGAAUCUUAAUUAUUUCUGAUAUGUUUCAGUUAUUUUAUUUCACCAAAUGACAAGACUAAUCUGUCAUUCACAAAGUUUUUGCAGCUAGCAUUAAAAGCUGGUGUGUUUUAUGACAGAGUGACAAAUAUGACUAUUUGGGGAAACCAUUCAACAACUCAGGUUCCUAAUUUCUUGAAUGCCAAAAUUAACAGGAGGCCAGUAAAAGAAGUCAUCAAAGAUACAGAGUGGCUAGAAGAGGAUUUUAAUAUAACUGUUCAAAAGGUACACGGAGAAGGUGGUGGUGCCGCCGAGGCUGUUGCUCCCGGUGUCAGAGAGGGUGUCGCUGACCGAUGCCGCCGGCUUGCCUGAGGUGGCCUGCACGUCUUCAUGACCAGACAUCUCCCCAGGUGAAUCCCUUCCCUUUAAGAAAAUCUCUCUAGCUAAUUUUUUAUUAGGAUUGCAGAACGUGAAUCUUCCUUAGUCAUCACCAAAUUGGCAUACUCUGACUAACUGAAAAACAACAAAGUAUUUAAUGGUGCUACUCGAAUGGAGUAUGAAAUGAUUUAGUAAUCACUUGUAUGCAAAAAGAGGUGCUCAAUUUGGUGUUGUAAGAAUUGAACUGGAACGGAAUUUUCAUGCCUAUGUUUUUUUCCAUGCCGACCUAUCUCCAGUCGUAUGCAGAUCCACAGUGGAUCAAGCGGAAUUGGCACAUUUGCUAUACAGAUUGCCAAGCGCCUUGGAAUCAAGGUUUUUGUCACUGCAGGUUUAUUGGUUUAGAUAGAUACAUUAUAUAUGGUACAAAGAUGUUUUUCGGAAGCAACUCUGUUAUGCCGCUCAGAAAGCCAAAGAGAAACUAACCGCUUGCGACGUUUAAGGUGUGGAUAUAUGCAGAAACUACAAAACCUUUGUAGCACGUAUCGAAGAAGAAACUAAUGGAAAUGGUAUUAUCCUGCCAUCCUCUUGUGACGCUUGAUGCCCUGAUGCAAAAACCUUGAUUUCAUUCUGGACAAAGUAGGCAGAUCUUAUCUCCAAGGCAAUCUGGAUAGCUUAGCAGUUGAUGGUAGACUUUUCAUCGUUGGUUUCAUGUGAGGCACUGUAAUUGAAGUGAACCUGCAGGCGAUGCUUGCCCGAAGACCGACUGUACAAGGUUGUAUCGAUCUAUCUAUAUACAACCAUGCCUCUUUCAGUUUUAUGUGUUUUUUUCCUGAUAACACAUCUUACUCUCUGAACACAAUGCUCAUAGGACUGUUGAUGCUUUUUUGCUGUUAGAAUUUCAUGCUUUGUUUUUCGGCAACUGAUUAUGCAGUGCUAUGAUGUAGCUUUGUGUCUUCUAAAUUAUUUUUUACUCUCAAAUAAUUUAUUAUACAACGGAACUUUUGUGUAGAUCUGUGCGAAGCCAGAUCCAGAAUGAGUCGAUAGAGUUGGGAUUAGCGAUACAACAUCUGGGGGCUAUGCUUUUUGAGCUUGGACGGACAAUGAUGACGCUUAGAAUGGGGCCAUCUCCUGCUAAUGCUUUUGUAAGUGCUGGGCAUGCUGUUUAUACAAACCCCACUGGACCAAGUCCAAUCAUGGUUCAGGCUACCUGUAUAGCUUUGCUUUCCUAUCAUGAACUGCUGACAACUUUGUUUUGGGCUAUCAUGCUAGCAUGCAUUGUAACAUAUAUCACUAUGUAUUAACAUGCUAGCUAAGUAUCUAUUUCUUUAUACUUUAAGGAUCUUAUUAUCAGUCCUUCAACAAAUUUUACGUGCAUGAUUUGGAUGCUUGGUUUGUUGUCGCCCUUUGCACCAUCGGCGCAACGGGUGGUUAGCUGCUUUUUUAUGUGUGAGAAUGUUAGGAAUGUUUCUAUAUGUGCCCAGAUUUAUUUGGUGUGCCUGCUAUGUUUCACUUUCACUGUUCUUUGUUGAAUAAAUUGAGAAAUUCUUGAUUCUUUUUAUGUUAUUUCUUUACAUGAAGGAUCCAGAUUAAAAUCUAAUGUGUUAUUCUUGCUAGCUUAGUUUAAACAAAUGCAUUUUAGAUCACCUACUUCUCAGUUCAUGAUUUUUGAUUCGGUGUGUUGCGGCUGAUUACCGGAACACACUCAUAAUUUACUAAAAGAAUUUUUUUUAGUUGUUUUUGCAUAUGCCUCUUGGUAUUUACUAGGUCACCUUCGAGAUUAGUUAACUAACAUACAUAUCCUAUCUACGCUUUUCACAUCCAUAUAAUGAUGCCAUGUUUUUCCUUUUGAGUAGAUGAUUCUUUAUUUAUUAACAUAUACACCAAUAUGUUGUUUCCAUUGAUCUCAUAGUACUUUUUGUGUGUUUCUUUAUCUUGGGCUGAAAACUUAUUGUCAGUUGAAGCUAUUUUUGAAGUCAUGUAUACUAUGGAAGUUGUGUAAAAGAACAUUUACUGAAAUGUUAUGUAAAACCUAUGGCUCAAAGCUAAGCUUCGGUAAAUUGGAAUAUUUAUAGAUAUAUUUGGGAGUUUCAUUAGAUUAAUCUGGACUUUCAAACUAAUCCAUUUAAUUAUUUGAGAGCACCAGCAACACAUUUUUUUUAAAAAGAAACAUGCCCACCAAACGAAGGGCAUUGCUAUGUUGUCCAUGUAUGCAAAUCUCUAGGAAGGAGAAACCCUCAAGAACUGCUAGGAAGGAGAAAGCCCUUCACGUCUCCAAGCCUGACUAUGCCUCCCUCGCGGCGAGGAUUGUUGUGUCCAACCUGCCGCCAAGUGGCUAGCCGCCAAGUGGAAAUAGUUUGUGUGGCGCUCGUAAUUAGAGAGCAUUAUGCUAGAAAGGUACAGGAAAGAAUAGGGAAACUUCUGUCAUUUUCUUUGGUCUCGGAAAAAUAAAUGGUGAUAUGGACUGAUACAUUGCUAAAUUACAUGAUACAAACUCACUUCUCUUUUUUGAUUUUUGGUUUACUUCGUUGUGCUACAAUGGCUCUCCUAGGAAUGUUCUUCCAUGCUUUGAUGUGCACAAUCCAGAAAGUGCAUCCAUCCAGAAACCAAAUAGGAUUUUUUAUGUGUUAUCUUCUCAUAAAUCUUGUGCUCGUCCAAUAAGAAUAAGGUUUGGUGGUAUUGCUUUUGUCUGUCACCCGGUAGAUUUCAGACUUCAAGCUAGCUGCAGUUAUUUCAGGUUAUAUGUGCAAAUCCUUGGUGUGACAUGAUUGGUAACUGACCAUGAAUACCUUGCAAUCUGAUAUGUCUAAUUCUUGAUUUAUGUGAUACCAUGGUCUAAAAAUUGGUCCUAAAGAUACAUGAUGUUUUUAUACAAAGUUGAGACAGUUAUUUUUGAAUGGAGGGAGUAUUAGAUUAUUUUGUUCCUUUUUAAUUUGGUUCUAAAGAUAUAGUUUCAGAGUGAUCAUUUUGCAUCAGUCAAGCUUGCCGUUGUUACAAAUAAUUGUUCUGUUGUCCUCAAUUCACUUUCUUGGUUUUUUAAUGCUACAAGCGUUAUUGUUCCUAUUUUUUAGUUAUUGAUCAUGCCAUUUUUCUUUCUGCCUUUGUAGCUGAAAGAUUAGUGAGACUGACUAAAUUCUGAACAUGUUCCAUGUGAGAGAACUAGCAUGUUGAUUUCAUCUUGAAAUAAUCAUAGCUGGGGGACGAGGUUCGUAACUGAGGGUCAUGUGCAGAGCUGGAGGAAGAAGUUGCGAGGCUUGGAACUCUCCUUGUGAAGGGCUCAGGGACAAGAGUGAGGACUAUGCCUCUUUAGUUGUAAUUGUGAUACUCCUGAUGUGCAAGUAAACACUCAUGUGAUACUCCUUAUGCUAAAAUGUUGGUUGUUCGUACAGAGGUGGUGACAUUAUUUGGUUCUCUGGUAUUGAUUUCAUGAUUUGUGGUUAAUAUAUGACGUAAUACAAUCCACAUUGCAUUAUAUUUUCA